rnacentral:sRNA from 1 species
CGUUGCAGCCCUUCUUGGGCGUUUCCUCCCUAAACUUCGGGCCGCUCGCAAGGGUGGCCUUUUUCUUUCUUAGGG